UCUGAGAGGAUGGCCCGCCGCACUGGGACUGAGACACUGCCCAGACUCCUACGGGAGGCUGCAGUCGAGGAUCAUUCGCAAUGCGCGAAAGCGUGACGAUGCGACGCUGCGUGGAGGAUGACGGCCCUAGGGUUGUAAACUCCUGUCAUGAGGGAGAAGCCGGCGACGGGUUAAUAACCCGCCGCCCCGAUAGUACCUCAAGAGGAAGCCACGGCUAACUCUGUGCCAGCAGCCGCGGUAAUACAGAGGUGGCUAGCGUUGUUCGGAUUUACUGGGCGUAAAGCGUGCGUAGGCGGUCGAGUAAGUCGGAUGUGAAAGCCCGGGGCCCAACCCCGGAAUUGCGUCCGAAACUGCCCGACUUGAGUGCAGGAUGGGAGAGGGGAAUUCAUGGAGUAGCGGUGAAAUGCGUUGAUAUCAUGAAGAACACCGGUGGCGAAGGCGCCUCUCUGGAAUGCAACUGACGCUGGAGCACGAAAGCAUGGGGAGCGAACAGGAUUAGAUACCCUGGUAGUCCAUGCCGUAAACGGUGCGCACUUGGUGUUGGAAGGGUCAGCCCUUUCAGUGCCGGAGCUAACGCGUUAAGUGCGCCGCCUGGGGAGUACGGCCGCAAGGCUAAAACUCAAAGAAAUUGACGGGGGCCCGCACAAGCGGAGGAGCAUGUGGCUUAAUUCGAUGCAACGCGAAGAACCUUACCCAGGCUUGACAUAUAACUGCAAGUCCUGUGAAAGCAGGAUUCCUUCGAGGGUGUUAUACAGGUGCUGCAUGGCUGUCGUCAGUUCGUGCCGUGAGGUGUUUGGUUAAGUCCAGCAACGAACGCAACCCCUGUGUCCAGUUGCCAUCAGGUAAUGCUGGGAACUCUGGACAGACUGCCUGUGCAAUCAGGAGGAAGGUGGGGACGACGUCAAGUCAGUAUGGCCCUUACGCCUGGGGCUGCACACGUGCUACAAUGGCCGGUACAGAAGGAUGCAACACCGCGAGGUUGAGCAAAUCCCCAAAGCCGGCCCCAGUUCGGAUUGAAGUCUGCAACUCGACUUCAUGAAGUUGGAUUCGCUAGUAACGGCGUAUCAGCUACGACGCCGUGAAUACGUUCCCGGGCCUUGUACACACCGCCCGUCACAUCAUGAAAGCCGUCUGCACCCGAAGUCGUUGACCCAACCCGCAAGGGAGGG
rnacentral:rRNA from 1 species